rnacentral:rRNA from 1 species
AGCGAACGCUGGCGGCAGGCCUAACACAUGCAAGUCGAACGCGUGUAGCAAUACACGAGUGGCAGACGGGUGAGUAACACGUGGGAACGUGCCCUUCGGUUCGGAAUAACUCAGGGAAACUUGAGCUAAUACCGGAUACGCCCUUACGGGGAAAGAUUUAUCGCCGAUGGAUCGGCCCGCGUCUGAUUAGCUAGUUGGUGAGGUAACGGCUCACCAAGGCGACGAUCAGAGCUGGUCUGAGAGGAUGAUCAGCCACACUGGGACUGAGACACGGCCCAGACUCCUACGGGAGGCAGCAGUGGGGAAUAUUGGACAAUGGGGAAACCCUGAUCCAGCCAUGCCGCGUGAGUGAUGAAGGCCCUAGGGUU